UACGAAGGGUGCUAGCGUUGUUCGGAAUCACUGGGCGUAAAGCGCGCGUAGGCGGCUUCUCAAGUCAGGGGUGAAAUCCUUGGGCUCAACCCAAGAAUUGCCUUUGAAACUGUGAAGCUAGAGUGUCGGAGGGGAUAGCGGAAUUGCUAAUGUAGAGGUGAAAUUCGUAGAUAUUAGCAGGAACACCGGUGGCGAAGGCGGCUAUCUGGACGACAACUGACGCUGAGGCGCGAAAGCGCGGGGAUCAAACAGG
rnacentral:rRNA from 1 species